ensembl:ncRNA lncRNA:CR45379 long non-coding RNA:CR45379
AUCUCUUUUAAGCUUCCUUCUCUCGACUUAUAAAUGGAGCUUAUCCCCUGGGAAUCGUGAUUCAGACACCUAUGCGAUUUCAAUAGGACGUGUGCCAGCGGGUCGUGUGGUGUUGGUGGGGAUUUUGGCACAAGAUUUUUGCGCCCCCCAAAAUCAAUUAAAAUGCCAAGCGGCGUGAGUCACACGCACAUGGGGUCGGAUUGAGAUUCGAUGAGGUUGGUCUUCGAAUGGUCGAGAGUUUUCAAAAGUGUUGAAAGGAGCGGGCUCCCUUUGUCGGACCUGGCUGGGACCUCCUCGACGGAUGGCUGGAUGGAUGGAUGAUCCAGCGAGGCGAUGAAGGAGUUGAGAUGUGAUGAUGGGCCAAUGGCCAGGAAUUACAAUGCUUAUUGCAUCUGCUGGAAAUUUGCAUACCCAAUCACCGAAUGGCAUUCCCACUCUUGACCCCGUUUUCAAUGGCCACUCGACACGACUCCGGCACGUUCUGUAAUCGAUCAUCAGUGCCCAAAGUGGCCAGAAGAAGACUGGAAACGGGGCUCUGAAGACUCUGGAAAGCGAAGACUGAGGGCCGGGGCCGCCUCUCAUCAAAGUCCAACAAAGCGCAUACCACAGAUAUCAAUUAAUUUCAGCGGGCCAGCGUGUGGAUGUGAAAAGGCCAACAAAAUCGUAAUAAGUCAAUGCCUUUGACGCAUACACAGAAAACAAAUCAAUGCAAUAGUUGGUG